rnacentral:misc_RNA from 1 species
UCCGGUUUGGCACCGGCAGUCUCCCUAGAGUUCCCGGCAUGACCCGCUGGCAACUAAGGACAGGGGUUGCGCUCGUUGCGCCACUUAAGGCAACACCUCACGGCACGAGCUGACGACAGCCAUGCACCACCUGUGCAGGCUCCGAAGAGCGCCCGCUUUCACCGGUUUCACCCUGCAUGUCAAGCCCUGGUAAGGUGGGGAUGACGUGUCGUUACCUUA